rnacentral:rRNA from 1 species
AGUCGACGCGAAAGUUUCUUCGGAGACGAGUAGAGUGGCGCACGGGUGAGUAACGCGUGGAUAACCUGCCCUUCAGUCCGGGACAACCUUCCGAAAGGGGGGCUAAUACCAGAUGAUAUUUCCGAACGAGUGUUCGGUGAUUUAAAGAUUAAUCGCUGGGGGAUGGGUCUGCGCACCAUUAGCUUGUUGGCGGGGUAAAGGCCCACCAAGGCUUCGAUGGUUAGCGGGUCUGAGAGGAUGAUCCGCCACACUGGAACUGAGACACGGUCCAGACUCCUACGGGAGGCAGCAGUGGGGAAUUUUGCGCAAUGGGCUAAGGCCUGACGCAGCAAUACCGCGUGAGUGAAGAAGGCCCUUGGGUCGUAAAGCUCUUUUUUCGGGGAAGAUGAUGACGGUACCCGAAGAAUAAGCGCCGGCUAACUCCGUGCCAGCAGCCGCGGUAAUACG